rnacentral:rRNA from 1 species
CCUACGGGAGGCAGCAGUAGGGAAUAUUGCUCAAUGGCGGAAACCCUGAAGCAGCAACGUCGCGUGGGGGAUGACGGUUUUCCGAUUGGAAACUCCUUUUGUUAGAGAAGAUAAUGACGUUAUCUGACUAAUAAUCACAGUCUAACUCCGUACCGGCAUCCGCGGUAAUACGGAGGGAGCAAGGGUUAUUCGGAAUCACUGGGCGUAAAGAGCGAGUAGGCGGGAUAGGCAGUCAAAUGGGAAAUUCGAUGGCUUAAACAUCGUACUGCAUUUGAAACUGCUAUUCUAGAGUAUGGGAGAGGUAGGUGGAAUGCUUGGUGGAGCGGUGAAAUCCGUAGAGAUCAAGCGGAAUUCUCAUUGCGAAGGCGACAUGCUGGCACCUAACUGACGCUGAUGCGCGAAAGCGUGGGGAGCGAACAGGAUUAGAUACCCUUGUAGUC